rnacentral:lncRNA from 1 species
UCGUUCAGGAAUUGAUCAGCAGAAUAUGGCCAGCACAAGAAAGGAAUGCCAUUGCUGACACCUUCCAUGGUGGAAUUCCAACCACAAUGGCUCAGGAAACAGGCAAUAGAAGGGUGGUUAAGAACCUUCUGCUGAGGUGCCCAGCUGAUCAUCUGUCCUCGAGCAGCAACUCUCUCUUGAAAUCCUUCUGGGUAUCUAUCAUUUGCAUCAGUAGUAAUAUCUGGCCUCACAACCCAUAAAAAUGGUCUGUUGCAAAGUUCUAGUCCCAAUGCUAAUUCUUGAAACUGAACUUGGUCAAGAAUUGUAAGGCUGCCAAAAGCAGCAUAAAUGACAGAGCUUGGUUGCUGUUGGUCUAGCCAUUUCAAACAGUUUGAAUCUUCGCGCCAGAAGUAUCCUGCUGAAUUCCCUUGGCGGUUGCUUGCUAUAAGUGGUCCUAUUGGCAGAAGUUCCGGAAACAUGGUGAAUGCUUCAGACUCGAGCUCAUAUGUUGAGUUACAAAAGUGGAAAUUUACCGCCAUCAUUGCUCUCCUGUUUCUUUCCAGUAAAUCAAAAAAAAUCUUUUGCGUGGUCAAGUCACCAAUAUGUGCCCAAAAACAGUCUCUAGAGUUCAUUUCAGGCAUCUUUGGUGCAAUUCGAAACAUCUGCAUGCUCAUAGGAGUUCCUGAAGUUGAAUACAAAACAAAGAAAAUAACAGUAGCAUAAAGUAAACUACUACUAUGACAUGCAUCAAAAUUAAAGUUUGCUGGAGGAAAGUAAAGAAUUAAAUGACAUGGAAUUAUACCGUGACUGUCAAUGAUUCCAUCAUCAAUAAGUUUGGGGAUACAAAAUACCAAUGCCACUAAUGCUGCUGAUGAAGACCAAAAGACAGCCCCCCUGACGUUCAUCUUUUUUGCUACCUCCAAAGACCAACCCAUGUUCCCAUCUGCAAUGAAACAAUCAAUUUUUUCAUCUUCUCUACUGUUGAUCUCUUCUAUGAGCUUCUCCAGCUUCCCCGGCAUAACCUGUAAAAAAUUUUCAAUUAGCUUUCCGAAAUCGUUUCUAUCUUCCCAGGGUUCCAUCCCAUCUGGGAUCGAAACCAAACGGAUUUGCUCCUCUAGAUAAUUCUUUCCCUGCAAUGAUUCCACUACCCGCUUGUGAUAAUAAUCCGUAUUAACGAAUGUGACUCGGAAGCCAUGUUUUGCCAGACAUUGUGAAAACUCCAGUAAAGGAAUUACAUGGCCUUGUGCUGGACCAGGCAUCACCAAAACGUGUGGGCUGCUCAUUUCCUUUUUUAUUUUUACCUCACUGGUUUGGUUUCUAUCAACCUUGUGCUUUUAUAGGGAUUGUGAGGAGCAGCUCAGCAGCCCAUGUUCGGUUUUCUGUCUUUCUUUUCGUACAAGUAGUAUGUUAUAUGUGUUUAAUUUUGAACCUCAAGCUGGUUAGUGGUUAUCUUCUUAUCUCCCGUUUUUAAGUUCUUUUUGUUCACCCCUUUGUUUUGUUUCCUUCUGCGGUUUGGGUGAUAUGUUUGCUUUUGAACAAACUGCGCCGUUAGAUCCAACGUUUAAAGCAGGAUGCUCGGCUCCAACUUUUCUGGACCCCAAUUUUUAAUGCUCUGUCUACAAUAACUUUUCUGGUUAGUGGUUAUCUUCUUAUCUAUGGUACAGAUUCUGUAACGAACAUCUCCCGUCAUCCCACCAUCCCAUUUUGUAUUGUUUAGUUUCUCACUCCACAUCCAGCCACAUCCAACGGCUGAUGCUGCAGUCUGUAGCUUACAGAUUCUGUAAGCUAGUCAAGUCCUAACUAAAUAAGGUAACUAAAACAAUUUUUCACAUCCUUCCACUAGCAUCUGCUCAAUAUAUAAUAUUUUAAUUUGCAACACACGAGUGGUUUUGAUUACGGGGAGGGUUGGCAAUUUAUAGGUUUGGGCCGGGUUUUCUCAAGAUCAGAUCCAUAUAAUCGAUAUGAGGUUCAGGUCCUGUGAAUGUUCAUCCAACUUGAGCGGGCUUGGGCUUGGGACUUCAAUAAUUUUGUUAAAUAAAUUUUUAAUUAAGUUGUAUGUUAAAAAAAUUUAAAUUAAGAUGAUUAUUAUUAUUAAACAAAAUAAAUAUUAAUUGCUCCCUUGAAUGGGCCUGAACCAGUCACCUCUAAGCAAAUAUUUGUAUUUUUUUUCUUUAUUCCUUUUUCUCUCUUUUUAUUAAUUAUUAUUGUAAAUUAAAAUUAUUUAUUUUUUAGAUAUUAAUUAUGUUUAUGCAUUGUAAUUUACACAGAAGCUUAAGACUCAUGUUUAUUAAAAAUGAUGUUAAUCCAGAAUGGAACGAGAAAUUUAACUCUUUCAAUUAAAAAUGAUUUUUUAAUUUAUAAAUUAAAGAGCCCAAACUUUUUCCAAAAGCCUUUAACCCCGAGUGAGCUUUAAAUUUUUUAGCCAUAUCCAUGAUUUUAUGAUGCUAGGUCCAACCCAUACUUUUUUGCCGACCCUAAUUAUGGGUGAUACUCUAGCUUAGGAUUUUUAUUUCAAUUCUAUUCGAAUCAAAUUAAAUAUGUAAAGGAAUGAAAUUAUUAAUUUAUUUAAUAAAUAAGCAAAUUUAUUUUGAUUCAUUAAAUAAACGAUCAAACCUAGGUUUGAGUUCACUAAUUCAAUUAUUCGUUUAAAAUUUGUUUACUAAUCAGGUCAUAAAUGAAUAGAAUAAUAAAUGACAUUUUUAACAUAAUUACUUGUUUUCCAUUAAAAUUCAAAAAUCUUGUUAAUACAUUUUCAAAGUAAAUUAGUUUUGUAAUUAUGAAAAGAUAAUAAGCCAAAAAAGAAAAUGAAAGCAAAGGCAUCAUUACUCAUUAGCCGACCCUAGCUCCACUCCUAGUUUACUUAUAUAGGAUAACGGAUUUGACUAAUUGUGAAAGUUCACUUGCAUUACUUAAGCAAUUUCUUCAUGAGCAUGUUCCUUUAUAAUAAUGCUAGUAUCUAAACCAGGCACUGGGGAUCCCUUCUCACUCGCUUCAUGCAAAUGCCCAGCAACCAUGUCUCCACCAACAUCACUGAUGUCCCCAAAAAUCAAAAUAAGAAUCCCGAUCGUGGCAGCCAAAAAUGAAACCCCAAAAGCAGUGCUCACAUUUCCACUGAUCGCUGAUGCCACAGCAAAGCCAGUACAAGUUCCUAGUGCUUUUACCCACGAGUGCCAUACAGAAAAAGCACCUUCUUUGCCAUGUGAUGUACAAUCUAGCAACAAAACUCUCCCAAAAGCAUGCAAAAGCCCUGCAGAAGUGCUUUGAAUUGCAGCAAAAAGCAGUACAUGGUGCCUCUGCCAGUUCUUUCCUUGGAGUAGAAUCCCGUACCUGAAGUCAACAGAGCUAAGAGGAAACCCAGAAAUUGCAUUCUCACAGCAUCUGCUUUGAUAACAUGUUGUAACGGAUGCAGUAGUGUCGUUGAAGAUGAUGGUAAUAUGAAGUAAAUUAUCCAUAAGUAGAGGAAAAGUAAAAAAAUAGCCCCAGUGAAAAUGCACAUUGAUGAAAAUCAUGACAUGAAAAUUACAAUCAGGCUUGUAAUUGCAUGAGGAUUUUUAAAAAGGGACAGUGAAUAUGAUUCGGGCAUAGAGGAGGUUGCGUUGGUGAUUGCCCCUGGCUCAGUGUGACAAUAUGGAGCAUGCCAACGAGCCAUUUGAGGACCCUGAAAAUGGACACAAUCCAGAGGCUAACAAAUGGGGCCUUUGUGUUCCUAAGCAUAUGGUAAGUGAAUGCUGAGAAAAUGGCAGAGCCUAAGCCACCACCAGCAGUGGCGUAUACCGAGAACCAGCCUGAGACCCCUCUUCUAGUUGGGGAUUGGCUAAGUUUAAGUGUUGGUCCAGUGUAGCCGCGAGCCAUAAGACCAAGAUGGCGAGUGUGGGAGGCUGAAGCAACAAUGUAUAAUGCAACAAUAGCUGCAAUAUAAAAUGGGAAGAUGCAUGGGGUUUUAAUGAAGCCAACAUGGAGACAAAAGAGGGAACCGAUGGCACUUGCAGCCCUAGCAAUGAGUUGUGGGUUGUAGCCAUGGUCAAGUUGCUUGGAGAUCAAGCCAAGGAAGGGACUAGCCAGAAUUAGGCCUAUAGCCCAUGAAAUUGAAGUCCAUUCCAUUGCUGAUAGAUUCAGAUUAUUCGUUGAUAUUGAUGUGUGUGUUAGUCAAUCAUACCUCCAAUAUAUGAAAAAUAUUUCAUCAUGCUAAAUAUGGACACAUUCAAAACUGACCCUCUGUCUAGUUUAACUGGCCAUGAAUGCGCUUUAUACCCGCGGUCACUCAAGUUUAAGUAAUAAUAAAUCAAGAGUAAGAGUUAAUGAAUUAAUUAAAGGAGAAUGAAUGAAACUUUAUUCCCACUAAGGUCUAAGAAGUUGUUUUUGUUCUUUGGGUUCCGAUAAAUUUUUAAUAGCAUAAUCUGUAAAUCUCUCAAUAUAAUCAUUUUGUAUAUGAAAAUUUCACAUUCACUUAAACAAUAUUUUUUUCUUGUCAAUAUUUUGAGCCAAAUGGUAAUUAAGAGUGAGAAAUUCAUUCUCCCAUAAUAAAAUUAAUAUGCAUAAUUGCAUCUUUUACGUUUUUUACUCUUUAACAGUCUUGGAAUCAAUUCGAUCUUUAAUCCAAUUUUUUGUGAAAAUUACACUCAUGUGCUUUGUAUAUAUAGAAUUUUGAUUGAAUAUUCUACUAAGUAACAAUCGAUGUAGCUAGAAAAAGAACUUACAGUUUGAUCUCUCCGAGAAUACAAGCAAUGCCCCUAGGGGUUUGUCGCCAACCUUGAUCAUCAUCAUCAUCAUCAUCAUUUUUAGAGACAAUUUCACUGAUGAUGAGAGGAAAAACAACGGGCACAACCGUUGUAACAAUGAAGUGUCCAAAUUUCAAGCUUCGAUGGCUUUUCUCGCAGCCCUGAGUAGGCCAUAUAAGCUCCCUCGGACCUCUCAAUUUUCAUUGCAGCAUCGUGUGCCUCAGGCAUGUCUUCAUUCACUUUCUGAUCCUCUACUGAUACCGAUAUUCCUUCAUCAUCACUUAGAACCUCAUGUUUUCUUUCUGCUGCCACCGCUGCUGCCAUAUUCACAUAUUAGUACCAAUUUGGAGGUUGCUUUGUGAAGUUAAAAAAAGGAGCUGAAUUGGCCAGACAUAUAUGUGUAAGUCUCAUUCUUUUUAACUUAUUUGUCUUCUCUCUUUAACGGCAAUGCCAAUUUUAGCAUCGCAUUCUGCUACAACUCAUGCUGAUCAAAGUGUUUCAUAUGAUUUCAAUUUUCCUCAUCACUUCUUUUGCACAGCAAUGAUCGAAUUCCCAGUGUAGAUUCCUUCAUCUGGAGCAAGGCGUUCUGAGCAGUGCUGCAAACAUCCAAGAUCAUAAAAGAUCCAUUUAACAGCUCAUCAACCCAUUUCUUCUUCUGGUGGCCGUUGGCUAAAGCUUGUUGAACGAGGGGCAAUUGAAGUGUUUUUUUUUUUCAACAGAAUCGCAUGAAUCUUGAAGGCAAUUUAAUUCAUGGCCUAAUGAUGAAGUAGAAACAGCUUGAGAAGUCCUUAAUCUUUACAAAUGCUCUUCAACUUCUGAAGUCUUUGAGUGCGAUCUUGUGGAAAGCUGUUUGAGCGAGUAUGGUAAGAGGCAGCCAUUGCUUUUUUUACUUUGAAUUAGAAGGUUAGAAGUUGAUUACCUUGUGCUCAAAUCUCAAUAUAUAUUGCACGAGAUGAGGGAACAAGAGGUAUGUCAUCCUCUUAAAAUAAAAAGAAACGAUAACAUGAUUUCGAGCCUGAUCUAAAUAUUGUAUCGGCUACUUUUAGGCUUAGUCUCCUCCCACACCAGCAUCCUAUCUCAGCUUUUUUAGCCACAAAUCUCACUAGUAUCUUCUCAUAAGCUAAUACUAAAUAAACAAAUGUUUCUGAGUGAUCCAUAAAAUAGGCAAUACAAGGAUGGCAUCAAUUCUGUUUCCUCUUCUAAAAUGCAAGAGACGCUAAUCCAGUUUGGCUUGGCUCCCCGCGGGAAAUAGGCAGAAUUGAUUUAUUUGAACUGGAUAUAAUAUGCAAAAUCUGCAGUGCAUGGGUAGUUAUGCCGCCAAAUUAAAGCAGGCCCAAAAAAGAUCUGCGCUGUUCAUUGCAGGCAUAUUUGGUGCCAAAUGAAUCGCUUGUUUCUUAAGAGACUGACUCCUCACACUAUAGUAACAACUAAUAACAUUCAUUGUCUGCAUUGAAAAAAAUUAACUGCAUAGGAAAACAAAUUAAAUUAAAACUCAGUUAAAUAAAAUAUUCCUAAACCCUAUAGACUUAAUUAAAAAAACUGAAAAAAAUGCAUGUUACAAUGGCCAAGGUAUCCUUCUAUAAUUGUCUACGAAGGUAGUAUUUUUUGAAUUAACCGCCCAUUACUGGGGAAUUAUGUGCCAGGGCGUUUGUCUUUACCCAUUCAAGGAAAUUCUGAAAUGUCUUGCGAGAGGAACCACCUUCUCUGAUGCUGCUCAUGGCUUUUUCCUUGAGUUCCAAAGCCCGUGCUUUAAAAUCUUGAUGACCAAGCACUUGAUCCACCUUGUUCUUAAUUUCUUCUCUUGUAAUGAUGCCACUUUCGUUUUUGUCAAACCUCAAUCCCACCUUCCAAAUAUCACAAAUGUAUUUCUCGUUCAGGAAUUGUUCAGCAAAAUAUGGCCAGCACAAGAAAGGAAUGCCAUUGCUAACACCUUCCAUGGUGGAAUUCCAACCACAAUGGCUCAGGAAACAGGCAAUAGAAGGAUGGUUAAGAACCUUCUGCUGAGGUGCCCAGCCGAUCAUCCGUCCUCGAGCAGAAACUCUCUCUUGGAAUCCGUCUGGGUAUCUAUCAUUUGCAUCAGUGGUAAUAUCUGGCCUUACAACCCAUAAAAAUGGUCUGUUGCAGAGUUCUAGUCCAAAUGCCA